rnacentral:rRNA from 1 species
UACGUAGGGAGCAAGCGUUGUCCGGAAUCAUUGGGCGUAAAGCGCGCGUAGGCGGUUACACAAGUUGGAUGUGAAAGCCCUCGGCUUAACUGAGGAAGUGCAUCCAAAACUGUGCAGCUAGAGUACUAAAGAGGGUCGCGGAAUUCCCGGUGUAGAGGUGAAAUUCGUAGAUAUCGGGAGGAACACCGGUGGCGAAGGCGGCGACCUGGGUAGAUACUGACGCUGAGGCGCGAAAGUGUGGGGAGCGAACAGG